rnacentral:rRNA from 1 species
GAUGAACGCUGGCGGCGUGCCUAAUACAUGCAAGUCGAGCGAACGGACGAGAAGCUUGCUUCUCUGAUGUUAGCGGCGGACGGGUGAGUAACACGUGGAUAACCUACCUAUAAGACUGGGAUAACUUCGGGAAACCGGAGCUAAUACCGGAUGAUAUUUUGAACCGCAUGGUUCAAAAGUGAAAGACGGUCUUGCUGUCACUUAUAGAUGGAUCCGCGCUGCAUUAGCUAGUUGGUAAGGUAACGGCUUACCAAGGCAACGAUGCAUAGCCGACCUGAGAGGGUGAUCGGCCACACUGGAGCUGAGACACGGUCCAGACUCCUACGGGAGGCAGCAGUGGGGAAUCUUCCGCAAUGGGCGAAAGCCUGACGGAGCAACGCCGCGUGAGUGAUGAAGGUCUUCGGAUCGUAAAACUCUGUUAUUAGGGAAGAACAUAUGUGUAAGUAACUGUGCACAUCUUGACGGUACCUAAUCAGAAAGCCACGGCUAACUACGUG